UUAAAUUGAAGAGUUUGAUCAUGGCUCAGAUUGAACGCUGGCGGCAGGCCUAACACAUGCAAGUCGAACGGUAACAGGAAGCAGCUUGCUGCUUCGCUGACGAGUGGCGGACGGGUGAGUAAUGUCUGGGAAACUGCCUGAUGGAGGGGGAUAACUACUGGAAACGGUAGCUAAUACCGCAUAACGUCGCAAGACCAAAGAGGGG
rnacentral:rRNA from 4 species